AGGAAACAUGCACUGGCAGGGACAAAACUAUGAUAUGAGGAAUACAUCAGAGAUCUGUGAGGAUUGUGAGAGUAAGCACGUGGACUGAAGCAUGGAGAUUUGUGGAAUUACUCGACAGACGGCAGCAUCUGUACAGCCAUGCACAGGACUGUGUGUGAAUGUCAAAGGAAGGGAG